UACGUAGGGUGCAAGCGUUAAUCGGAAUUACUGGGCGUAAAGCGUGCGCAGGCGGUUAUGUAAGACAGAUGUGAAAUCCCCGGGCUCAACCUGGGAACUGCAUUUGUGACUGCAUAGCGUUGAGUGCGGCAGAGGGGGAUGGAAAUUCCGCGUGUAGCAGUGAAAUGCGUAGAUAUGCGGAGGAACACCGAUGGCGAAGGCAAUCCCCUGGGCCUGCACUGACGCUCAUGCACGAAAGCGUGGGGAGCAAACAGG
rnacentral:rRNA from 1 species